rnacentral:misc_RNA from 1 species
AACUGAUACUACCUGCGGGAACCUGCGGAAGGAUCAUUAUAGAGUUUUUAACUCCCAAACCCAUGUGAACUUACCUUUGUUGCCUCGGCGGAGCCUACCCGGUACCUACCCUGUAGCGCCCCGCCGGUGGACUUCUAAACUAUUGUUAUUUUAAUGAUAUCUGAGAGUCUUAUUUUAAUAAGUCAAAACUUUUAACAAUGGAUCUCU